rnacentral:rRNA from 1 species
CCUACGGGAGGCAGCAGUCGAGAAUCAUUCACAAUGGGGGAAACCCUGAUGGUGCGACGCCGCGUGGGGGAAUGAAGGUCUUCGGAUUGUAAACCCCUGUCAUGUGGGAGCAAAUUAAAAAGAUAGUACCACAAGAGGAAGAGACGGCUAACUCUGUGCCAGCAGCCGCGGGAAUACAGAGGUCUCAAGCGUUGUUCGGAAUCACUGGGAGUAAAGCGUGCGUAGGCUGUUUCGUAAGUCGUGUGUGAAAGGCGCGGGCUCAACCCGCGGACGGCACAUGAUACUGCGAGACUAGAGUAAUGGAGGGGGAACCGGAAUUCUCGGUGUAGCAGUGAAAUGCGUAGAUAUCGAGAGGAACACUCGUGGCGAAGGCGGGUUCCUGGACAUUAACUGACGCUGAGGCACGAAGGCCAGGGGAGCGAAAGGGAUUAGAUACCCGUGUAGUC